CGUAGGGGCAAGCGUUAUCCGGAUUUACUGGGGUGUAAAGGGAGCGUAGACGGCGAUGCAAGUCUGAAGUGAAAUACCCGGGCUCAACCUGGGAACUGCUUUGGAAACUGUGUUGCUAGAGUGCUGGAGAGGUAAGCGGAAUUCCUAGUGUAGCGGUGAAAUGCGUAGAUAUUAGGAAGAACACCAGUGGCGAAGGCGGCUUACUGGACAGUAACUGACGUUGAGGCUCGAAAGCGUGGGGAGCAAACAGGAUU
rnacentral:rRNA from 1 species